UCCUACGGGAGGCAGCAGUGGGGAAUUUUGGACAAUGGGCGAAAGCCUGAUCCAGCCAUUCCGCGUGCAGGAUGAAGGCCCUCGGGUUGUAAACUGCUUUUGUACAGAACGAAAAAGCUCCGGCUAAUACCUGGAGUCCAUGACGGUACUGUAAGAAUAAGCACCGGCUAACUACGUGC
rnacentral:rRNA from 1 species